ACGAACGCUGGCGGCGUGCCUAAUACAUGCAAGUCGAACGGUCUUUCUAUGGAAGCUUGCUUCCACUGAGAAGAUAGUGGCGAACGGGUGAGUAACACGUGGGUAACCUGCCCAUAAGAGGGGGAUAACAUCCGGAAACGGGUGCUAAUACCGCAUAGUUUUCUUGAUCGCAUGAUCGGGAAAGGAAAGACGGCCUUUGUGCUGUCGCUUAUGGAUGGACCCGCGGCGUAUUAGUUAGUUGGUGAGGUAAUGGCUCACCAAGACGAUGAUACGUAGCCGACCUGAGAGGGUGAUCGGCCACAUUGGGACUGAGACACGGCCCAAACUCCUACGGGAGGCAGCAGUAGGGAAUCUUCCGCAAUGGACGAAAGUCUGACGGAGCAACGCCGCGUGAGUGAAGAAGGUUUUCGGAAUCGUAAAACUCUGUUGUCAGAGAAGAACAAGUUGGAGAGUAACUGCUCCAGCCUUGACGGUAUCUGACCAGAAAGCCACGGCUAACUACGUGCCAGCAGCAGC
rnacentral:rRNA from 1 species